ACGCUAGCUACAGGCUUAACACAUGCAAGUCGAGGGGCAGCAUGUUGGUUGCUUGCAACCAAUGAUGGCGACCGGCGCACGGGUGAGUAACGCGUAUCCAACCUACCCAAUACUCAGGCAUAACCCGUUGAAAGACGGACUAAUUCCUGAUGGUAUGUAUUUCUCUCAUGAGUUAUACAUUAAAGAAUUUCGGUAUUGGAUGGGGAUGCGUCUGAUUAGUUUGUUGGUGAGGUAACGGCUCACCAAGACUUCGAUCAGUUGGGGUUCUGAGAGGAAGGUCCCCCACAUUGGAACUGAGACACGGUCCAAACUCCUACGGGAGGCAGCAGUGAGGAAUGUUGGUCAAUGGAUGCAAAUCUGAACCAGCCAAGUAGCGUGCAGGAUGACGGCCCUAUGGGUUGUAAACUGCUUUUAUGUGAGAAUAAAGUUAGGUAUGUAUACUUAUUUGCAUGUAUCACAUGAAUAAGGACCGGCUAAUUCCGUGCCAGCAGCCGCGGUAAUACGGAAGGUCCAGGCGUUAUCCGGAUUUAUUGGGUUUAAAGGGUGCGUAGGCCGUUUGAUAAGCGUGCUGUGAAAUAUAGUGGCUCAACCUCUAUCGUGCAGCGCGAACUGUUGAACUUGAGUGCGUAGUAGGUAGGCGGAAUUCGUGGUGUAGCGGUGAAAUGCUUAGAUAUCACGAAGAACUCCGAUUGCGAAGGCAGCUUACCGUAACGUUACUGACGCUUAAGCACGAAGGUGCGGGUAUCGAACAGGAUUAGAUACCCUGGUAGUCCGCACAGUAAACGAUGGAUGCUCGCUGUUGGCCUUUAUGGUCAGUGGCUUAGCGAAAGCGUUAAGCAUCCCACCUGGGGAGUACGCCGGCAACGGUGAACUCAAAGGAAUUGACGGGGGCCCGCACAAGCGGAGGAACAUGUGGUUUA
rnacentral:rRNA from 1 species